AAAUAAUGAUUAGAACAUCACCGGUCAAAAUCUUUAAAAGAGCUUGCAAAAUGGUUACCAGAGGAGUGGUCUCGUCACACAGUAUCAAAAAUUGAAGGCACAUUUGGGUUUGUAAUCCAAAACUUGGCAUGAUCUCUAAAUCUUCAAGAUAUCUUGCCUUGUAAUAUGAUCUCAUUUUCUAUCUUAACAGUUAACUUCCUCCUGAAUUCUUGAUGCAUGGCAUAGUAGAUGAGAAGACAAAUAUUUAUGUUUAUGGGGUUCUGUUGUUAGAGCCCCUUACUGUAAGGCAAGCUUUAGAUAGUUCACAGCAAAGUCUUGUAAUGUGGGCCAAGCCUUUGCUAAUGAAAAACAACAUCAAGGAGCUUGUUGAUCCAACUCGUGGAGAUGCCCAUGAUUCAGACCAGAUCGAUCAUGUGGAAUGUGCAGCUUGUAUAUGCAUAGACCAGUCUCCUUCGGAGAGACCCCAGAUGAGCCAAAUUUCUCUGCAGUUUGUAAGGGUUUUAGAAGGAGAUGAAAGCAGUUUGAUAGAGUUGAAGCUACGACAAAGGUCUAGACACCAAAGGACACCCUCGGUUGCGGAUCUGUUUGAUGCAGAUGAAUGCAAUCCGACAGAGUAUCUAAGCCAUCUCAAUCAACAGAUGAUGGUUUUGGUUAACUGUAAUGAAAAGUCUGAAGACCACGACCGAUCAACAACUGAUCGGAAUCAAAAGAAGGGUGGAGGUGGUUCCAGGCCACAUCGAAAUUGAAUCCAUUACCCUUUCUCUCCACACUCUAAAUCUUUGUUCUGGCAAGACUCAUAAGCAUUGGAGCCAAAACCAUGGAAGUAAAACAAACGGUUUGGAAGAAAAGAGGUAAAAAAACAAUGAAGCCAGGAAAGGAAAUACUUGUUCAGACCAUAUAUAUAAUCAAGCAUGUUUCUGUCCUGGAGAUGUUUGCUUAGCUAUGAGU